GUGACCUCACCUUAGGUGAGAACACCUAUUGAUUUUAAGCAUAUAAUUAAGCAGAGGAAAAGAAACUUACAAGGAUUCCCCUGGUAGUGGCGAGAAAAUAGGGAAGCGCCCAACAUGAAAAUCGGGUGGUAGCAUCACCUGAAUUGUAGUCUGUAGAAGUGUCAUCAUUGGCAGACUUGGGCCAAGUCCCUUGGAAAGGGGCGCCUGAGAGGGUGACAAACUUGUUAGGUUGGAACCCUACCGCAUCAGAAGGUGUUGUUGUCAAAUUGGGUUGUUUGCGAAUGCAGCCCUAAUUGGGUGGUAAAUUCCGUCGAAGGCUAAAUAUGGGUGAGAGGCUAAUAGCGAACAAGUACUGGGAGGGAAAGAUGAAAAGGAAUUUUAAAAGAGAGUUAAAGAGUGGUUGAAAUUGCUGGGAGGGAAGCAAAUGCAGUUUGUCAAUGCGUCUCAGUUGGAUGUGGAAUGGCUCAGGCUGGUCUGUCACUUGACUUGAGGUGUAAACCAACAUCGGCUACUGCAUUGUCACAAGUGCAGGUGGAUUAGUACCUGUUGGUUUGUCAUUGCGGUGGUCGAGGAAUGAAGCGUGUGCCCUUGUGGUGGGCCAUGUGCACCUGCACACUCAUGAUGUUGGUUUGCAGGCUUUCCAUUCGACCCGUCUUGAAACACAGACCAAGGAGUCUAACAUGUGUGCGAGUUGGCGGGUUUGAAAACCUGCGAGGAAUGAGGAAGUUGAUGGGCAAGAUCCCCUCUCUAGAGGGGUGCAUCGUCGACCGACCUUGAGCUUAUGUGAAGGGUUCAAGUGUGGGCACACUUGUUGGGACCUGAAAUAUGGUGAACUAUGCCUGAGUAGGGCAAAGUUAUAGGAAACUCUGGUGGAGGCUUGUAGAAAUACUAAUGUGCAAAUCAUUUGUUUGACUUGGGUAUAGAGGCAAAAGACUAAUCGAACCAUCUAGUAGUUUUUUUCCUCCAAAGUUUCCCUCAGGAUAGCUGGAGCACGUGUGUGAGUUUUAUUGGGUAAAGAAAAUGAUUAGAGGCAUCGGGGGCAUAACGCUCUCAACCUAUUCUCAAACUUUAAAUAGGUAAGAGGUUGCAGAUGCUCCAUUGAGUUGUGCCAUGGAAUCGAGAGCUCCAAGAGAGCCAUUUUUGGUAAGAACUAGCGAUGUAUGAUGAACCGAAAGUCGAGUUACGGUGCAAAAUUGCACGCUAACCUAGAUCCCACAAGGGGUAUUGGUUGAUUAAGACAACAGGACGAUGGUCAUGGAUGUCGAAAUCCGCUAAGGAGCGUGUAACAACUCACCUGCCAAAUCAACUAGCCCUGAAAAAGGAUGGCACUAAAGCGCACAACAUACACUCAACCAUCGAAGCAAUUGCCUCACUUCAAUGAGUAGGAUAACACAUGGGUUGUUGAGAAACCUCAGGUUUGAGCCUGGGUGGAUCGGCCCCUAGUUCAGAUCUUGGUGGUAGUAGUAAAUAUUCAAAUGAGAAAUUUGAAGACUGAAGUGGGCAAAGGUUCCAUGUGAACAACACUUGGACAUGGGUUAGUUGAUCCUAAGAGAUGGGGAAGUCUUGUAUCAAGGGUACACUCUGCAUGAGCAUCAAAAGGGAAUCAGAUGAAUAUUCCCGAAUGGGAUAUUAUAGUGGAUGACAAUGUUAGAAAAUCUAAAGACGUCAUUGGGUUCCUCAGGAAGAGUUAUCUUUUCUUUUUAAUAGCUUUACCACCCAGAAUUAGUUCACUAGGAGAUAGGGUCCAGUAGCUCGAAGAGCACAGCACGUCUUGCGGUGUCCGAUGCGCCCUCGAUGACCCUUGACAAUCUAGAGGACCGACUACCGUUCAUGCCUAGUGAUACUCAUAACCACAUCAAGUCUCCAAGGUGAACAACCUCUAGUCAAUAGAACAAUGUAAGUAAGGGAAGUUAGCAAAAUGGAUCUGUAACUUUGGGAAAAGGAUUGGCUCUGAGGGUUGGGCCUAGGGGUUUGUGCCCUUAACUUAUGAGUUUUCGAUAGUCUACCUGAGCUGCUCUAGCGAAGAGGGUGGGCAAUCACAUCCCAAUUUGGCUAUAGUUUUAGAAUGCUCCCUACUGAGGGCUUUUCCCUAGGUGGUGAACGACCAACUCAGAAUUGGUACGAGCAAGGGGAAUAUGACUAUUUAACUAGAACAAAGCAUUGUGAUGGUCCUUGUAGAUGCAGACACAAUGAGAUUUCUACCCAGUGCUUUGAAUGUCAAAGUGAGGAAAUUCAACCAAGUGUGGGUACAUGGCGGGAGUAACUAUGACUCUCUUAAGGUAGCCAAAUGCCCCGUCAUCUAAUUAGUGAUGCACAUGAAUGGAUUAAUGAGAUUCCCACUAUCCCUAUCUACUAUCUAGAAAAACCAUAGCCAAGGGAAUGGGCUUGGCAGCAUCAGGGGAAAGAAGACACUAUUGAGCUUGAAUUUAGUCUAACUUUGUGAAAUGACUUCAGAGGUGUAGAAUAAGUGGGAGCCAUUUUUAGCACAAGUGAAAUACCACUACUUUUGACGUUAUUUUACUUAUUAUGUGGGGCAGAAAUAGGGUAGUGCCCCUGUUUUUGGCCUUAAGGAAUUUUUCAGUGGAUUGAAACAAGUGGAAGAUGGUGUUAGGGGGGGAGUUUGGAUGGGGUGGCACAUCUGAUAAAGGAUAAUGUAGGUGUUCUAAGAUGAGCUCAACGAGAACAAAAUUCUCAUGUGGAACAAAAGGGUAAAAGCUCAUUUCAUUUUGAUUUUUAGUACAAAUACAAACCGUGAAAGUGCAGCCUAUCGAUCCUUUAGAUUUUCAGAAUUUGAAGCUAGAGGUGUCAGAAAAGUUAAAACAGGGAUAACUGGCUUGUGGCAGCCAACCGUUCAUAGCGACGUUGCUUUUUGAUCCUUCAAUAUCAGCUCUUCCUAUCAUUGUGAAGUAGAAUUCACCAAGCAUUGGCUUGUUCACCCACCAAUAGGUAAUGUGAGCUAGGUUUAAACCAUCAUGAGGCAGGUUAGUUUUACCCUACUAAUGAACCACACCACAAUAGUAAUGCAACUUAGUACAAGAGGGACCAUUGAUUGACACAAUUGGUCAUUGCGCUUGGUUGAAAAACUAGUGGCACAAAGCUACCGUGUGUCGGAUUAUGACUGAAUGCCUCUAAGUGAGAAUCCACACUAGAAGUGGUGCAUGUCACUCUUCUAUGGUAUCUCAACCUACAGUAGGGGUGUCUCUUUGUCAUCCCCAGGCACUCGUGUCGUUUACAAACCGCGACUAUGAAGUAUCUUGGUCAGGGUAGCUAUGAAGUUCAAAUGAAAAUGGACGUUGAGAAUAAUCCUUUGGAGACAAAUUAAAUACAUGACAAGGUAUUGUAAGUGGUAGAGUGGUCUUGCUGCCAUGAUCCAUUGGGAUUCAUCA
rnacentral:rRNA from 1 species